AACCAGCAUUUACCCACUACUGAUCCUGGGCCAAGCCAAGAGUACUUUUGCAUGUUAGUUCAUAUUUCAGAAUCCUCAUACUGCUCUUUUUCAGAAAAGCCUUAUUUCCGCAUUUUCACAAAAGUGGAGCCCGUGGUUCAGGGAGAUGCAGCAGCUGACUCAAGACUGCGGAGACAGUAGGUCAGAGAUGGACCAGGAUGUGGUCUUCCAGCACUGAUACCAGCCCUGUCUGUCCCAGCCUGAGAGGCGGCCUUCUGCAAUGCUCUCCGUGGAAGCUUCAUCCAGGCUUGGUCUGAGCUCCUCUGGUAUUCCCUGAGAAAGCCUAAUUUCAAAGGUUGUCCAGAUAUGGCAAUGGAGGCCCAGAGAACUCAGAUGGCUUUCCAAGGCCACACAGCCCCGAAGGCAGGACCCUGGGCUCCUUUUCAUCUGUCAACUCUAGGAGGAUGGGUCUGGGCACAGCCACGAAGGAGCAGAUGUGAACGUGUUCCUGAAAGGAUGAGCAUGAAUUCUAUAUUUAUGCAAAGAAAUGUGUGGAGAACUGGGUCCCAAGGCAGCAAGCCCUUCCCAGGGGAGACAUCUCGACUCUGUGAGUUCCUCAAAGGAGCUGUGUAAGUGCUACAUGGCAGCCCAGAGGGUUUCAAAACAGCCCCUCCCAAAUGCUGAUCCUGAAAGGGGUUCUUAAAAAUGCACCUUUCCAGCUCCACACCCUAGAUUCUGAUGCUCAAAGCCUGGGUGGUAACGAAGUGAUUCUGAUGAUGGGCCAGUUCUGGCAUUACUAUACUCACUGAUCCUCAGACCUGGAGGCAACCUAAGAGAGCCCAUCUGAUACAGAACUCAGAAGUGAAGUCUUUUGGGGCCAAGACGGUGGAGUAGAAAGACACUGCACUCAUAUCCUCUCAUAAGCACAGCAAAAUCUCAACUAAGCUGCAAAACAGUCAUCAGUGGAAAAGACCGGUACCUAUCAGAAAAGAUCUACAGCUAAAGACAUAAGGAAGGAGCUGCAAUGAGAUGGGCAGAAGGGGUGGACUUGAAAUACAAUCAAAUCCCGUACGUGCCCCUCACCCCGGAUGGGUGACUCACAAACUAGAGUUAUAUUGCAGAGAUUCUGAGACAGGAGGGGAAGGCGCAGGACACGAGGGCUACGUAAAUGAAGAGGGGGCGUGGCUGUUUGGAAGAUAAUCAAGACUGACUGGAACCAGCUGAAACCAAGCUGGCUUCAAGAAUAGUUCAGUCAUUGACCUUUAGCCCACCAUACCUUUAUGGUCAUAUUAAAAGUCACUCCCCCUAACGCCAUGAUGGUUCUGAAAUGGAUCAUAAAAGGCCAAAGAGUGGGCAGUGGCCCAUUUCCUACAGAAUCCCCGAAAUUCAGACCCCUGUCUCGUCAUGAC
ensembl:lncRNA